rfam:Schistosoma curassoni strain Dakar, Senegal genome assembly, scaffold: SCTD_scaffold0010145
AAGUUUCUGAAUCCGUCCAGAGAUUUCGUCAGACACCAACCCAUUAAAGCUGAUCAGACUUCCAAGAUAAGUGAAAUU